CCUAGCCUUGGAGUGGGGAAUAACAGCUGGAAACAGCUGCUAAUACCGCAUAAUGCAGUUGGGUCGCAUGGCUCUGACUGCCAAAGAUUUAUCGCUCUGAGAUGGACUCGCGUCUGAUUAGCUAGUUGGCGGGGCAACGGCCCACCAAGGCGACGAUCAGUAGCCGGACUGAGAGGUUGGCCGGCCACAUUGGGACUGAGACACGGCCCAGACUCCUACGGGAGGCAGCAG
rnacentral:rRNA from 1 species